GAUGAACGCUGGCGGCGUGCCUAACACAUGCAAGUCGAACGGAGCUGCUUUGAUGAGAUCUUCGGAUGGAUUUAAAACAGCUUAGUGGCGGACGGGUGAGUAACGCGUGGGUAACCUGCCUUAUACAGGGGGAUAACAGUUGGAAACGACUGCUAAUACCGCAUAAGCGCACGGUAUCGCAUGAUACAGUGUGAAAAACUCCGGUGGUAUAAGAUGGACCCGCGUCUGAUUAGCUAGUUGGUGAGGUAACGGCCCACCAAGGCGACGAUCAGUAGCCGGCCUGAGAGGGUGAACGGCCACAUUGGGACUGAGACACGGCCCAAACUCCUACGGGAGGCAGCAGUGGGGAAUAUUGCACAAUGGGGGAAACCCUGAUGCAGCGACGCCGCGUGAGUGAUGAAGUAUUUCGGUAUGUAAAACUCUAUCAGCAGGGAAGAUAAUGACGGUACCUGACUAAGAAGCACCGGCUAAAUACGUGCCAGCAGCCG
rnacentral:rRNA from 1 species